rnacentral:rRNA from 1 species
GAUGAACGCUGACAGAAUGCUUAACACAUGCAAGUCUACUUGAAUUUGGGUUUUUUAACUUAGAUUUGGGUGGCGGACGGGUGAGUAACGCGUAAAGAACUUGCCUCACAGUUAGGGACAACAUUUGGAAACGAAUGCUAAUACCUGAUAUUAUGAAUAUAUGGCAUCAUAUAAUUAUGAAAGCUAUAAGCGCUGUGAGAGAGCUUUGCAUCCCAUUAGCUAGUUGGAGAGGUAACGGCUCACCAAGGCGAUGAUGGGUAGCCGGCCUGAGAGGGUGAACGGCCACAAGGGGACUGAGACACGGCCCUUACUCCUACGGGAGGCAGCAGUGGGGAAUAUUGGACAAUGGACCAAGAGUCUGAUCCAGCAAUUCUGUGUGCACGAUGACGUUUUUCGGAAUGUAAAGUGCUUUCAGUUGGGAAGAAAAAAAUGACGGUACCAACAGAAGAAGUGACGGCUAAAUACGUG